UACGUAGGGGGCAAGCGUUGUCCGGAAUCAUUGGGCGUAAAGGGCUCGUAGGCGGCCAACUAAGUCAGACGUGAAAUCCCUCGGCUUAACCGGGGAACUGCGUCUGAUACUGGAUGGCUUGAGUUUGGGAGAGGGAUGCGGAAUUCCAGGUGUAGCGGUGAAAUGCGUAGAUAUCUGGAGGAACACCGGUGGCGAAGGCGGCAUCCUGGACCAACACUGACGCUGAGUGAGCGAAAGCCAGGGGAGCAAACGGG
rnacentral:rRNA from 1 species